rnacentral:lncRNA from 1 species
CUUAGUGGAAAUGUCCAUCUCUCACAUCCAGAUGUAUUUUGACUAACUACUUCUGCAGAGCGAUUCCUUCUUUAGCAGAGACUGCUCUGUGUCCUACUCUUUCUUGAAAUGCCACAGGACUCUGUUCCAAUUUAACCCUCUAAGCCAUGCACACAGUUGUUUGCUUGGAUCCCAAGGAGAUUAAAGGAUGAGGAGACUAUAAAUGCCACUAGAUUUCUUUCUCUAGGCAGCCUGUGGAGAUGAAUCCUGCAUCAGCAGUCACAGCUGGACAAAUGACCUGGUUGGAAAGGCACAAGCCACAGCCAGCUCUCCCUGCUGACUCCUGCUUCCUGUGCAAGUCUGUGGAAUUGGUGCCUCAGGCCUGAUACCUGCAGGACUGCAGAAGCAGAGAAGACAGAGACAUGACAAGAUCUGUUAUGUAAAUCACUCUGUACAUCCCGAACUAUCUUCUGGGGCAGUGCUAACUAAUUUAUGACAGGUAACCCAAUAGUUAUUAAUA